AGCCAUAGCUCAAUGGUGCAGCAUCUGCCUAUCAUGCAGAAGGCCCCAGGUGCAAUGCCUAGCAGACCCAGGUAGGGCUG